rnacentral:lncRNA from 1 species
AUGUUAGAUUCACCAGUAAAGAUCAGAGUCUGGAGGUACUUUACUUGUGUUGCCUGUGUAACGGGGAUUCCCUUUGUUGUCGUUGAAAGGGAGUUUCCCGAGGUUGCUAGUUCAGUAGUCGUUGAAGUGACGUCUUGGGAGCCCGUGGAUGGGUGUUGGCAGAACACGAAACUACUCAAACGGAAAAGAAAAGAAACUAAAGUAAAAGAACAGAAGAAAGUUUGACGAGACUAGGUGGUGUUUCUUCUCAUCUGGCUAAGAAGCAGCAGGCGCGCAGGCCGAAGCAGGCUGGAACUGCGCUCAAAGAACGCUGAAAGUGAUGACUAAAAGCAUGACUAAAAGCAAAGGCUAAAAGCAGGCUAAAAGCAAAAUUUGAUGGUGUCCUGAGUAUUUAAACUGGCCUUUCGGCCACACCUCAAAUGUUGUCUUGACCAAUUAGAUAUUGUCUUUGCUCGGGGUGUUGCGAUGUUUGUCCUACCCAUUCAUAAAUCAUAUGUUAUCUUAUCAGUCACGUGGUCUGAAUUUUCCCGCUCUUGCAGGGUAUAAUUUGGACAUGAUUCCUAUAACAAGAAUAUGAUACAUUUGACAAAUAACUGAUGGUCAGAAACAUUUCAAACAAGCAGAUUGAAACACAUACAUACUAAACAUGAAUAUGAAUCCUUAAGCUAUCCAAUAGUUAUUAAAAGACAUACACAAUAAGUGAUUAUAAACAUGAUAGUCAAAUGUGUGGGUUACAUAUAAAUGAAUAUGGAGUUAAGCAAUGGACUGAUAUUCAUUUAUAAGUCCUUUUGAGUUCAUUAAACGACAGUUCUUGUGCCAUUCUCUGAAAUAAAGAUGUUCUGUGGGGACCAGAGGUUAAAAGGUCCCCUUAGGAAUUUCAGUCUAGUUCUGCUAGGUGGGGGUGAGGCAAUCCAACGAUCUUGUUUACUCUCAUGGCUUUACAUGUGAGGGUCAGACUGUCCAUCUCUUUGAUUACUUGCCCCAAAUUUUACAAUCUCUUCUUCGAAUUGAAAUUGUCAAUAAUUGUUCUAAUGGUGUUAAUGUUGAAAGCUGUUCUGUGAAAGAGCUGGUUGGUUAUCUUGCUGUGGUGCUAGGAGUUGAUUUACAACAUCCUGUUGCCUUUCUGAGGAAUUCGGCUCCUCAUGUUUCAACCAUGGGCCUGAUCGAAUCUUUAAUUUGUCUGGUUCGGGUCUGAUAUGCUACAUAAAUAUACAGUUUUGUCACAAAAGUAAAAUAAUCAGCAUUUGAAUGGGAAAGAGACACUUUCACUCAUUCUAACAAAAGUCUUUAUUGGUCAAUGUACAGAAAGUGCUGCAGUGACCAUCAAAUAAGUUAAACAAAAACUUAUAUUUUAUCUUUCCAUUUCGUGAAUCUACUGAGACACAGCAGCUUAUACUACUGAAGUACCUACAGGCUUUGCAGCAUUUGGACUGAGGGUGCGAUUCCCAAUAUUGACCAGCAGAUGACCAUUACAGGAUGCUUUUUGUAGGUCAAAAUCAGGCUGUGACAGCUUUUCCGGCAAUAAAUUCUGGCUUCUGUAAGUGUGAGAGGGCAUUAAAUGAGAGUGUUUUAUGUAUAUAUGUGUAAGUGUGUGUGCACAAGUCUAUGUCUGGAUGUGAAUCUUGCUUGUGUGAAGGUGUAUGCAUGUGUGCAUGAGCGACCGUGUCUAUGUGUGUGUUUGUGUCUUAAUAGGGUAACGUUGAUGGAUCCCAUUUAAGCUUUCCUUUCACUUUUCCCUUCUGAAUGAAAGUCUCUUCCUCUUCAUCACUGUCCUUGGAUUCAGCACUAGAGAGAUCUGCCAGUUCAUCAUCCUCUUCGUCUGCUUCAGAAUACUUGGAAAUCAACACGAUUUUUUGGUAAUGCUUUCAUGCUGCUUUUUUAUGGUCAUUUUUUUCAAUAAAUAC